rnacentral:rRNA from 1 species
ACAGUGGACGCGAGCAUCUUUGUUGUAAGUGUUUAAGAGCGUACGGUGGAUGCCUUGGCACCAGGAGCCGAUGAAGGACGUAGGAGGCUGCGAUAAGCCUCGGGGAGCUGUCAACCGAGCUGAGAUCCGAGGAUGUCCGAAUGGGGAAACCCAGCCACAGUGAUGUGUGGUUACCCGCGCCUGAAUAUAUAGGGCGUGUGGAGGGAACGUGGGGAAGUGAAACAUCUCAGUACCCACAGGAAGAGAAAACAACAUGUGAUUCCGUGAGUAGUGGCGAGCGAAAGCGGAAGAGGCUAAACCAUGGGUGUGUGAUAGCCGGCGGGCGUUGCAUUCGUGGGGUUGUGGGAUCCGUCUUGUCAAUUCUGCCGGAUUGGCCGACAGUGAGAAAUCAUCGUGUUAGUCGAAGUGGUCUGGAACGGCCUGUCGUAGAGGGUGAGAGUCCCGUAGACGAAAACAUGGUGACUGUCGUGACGGACACCCGAGUAGCAGCGGGCCCGUGAAAUCUGCUGUGAAUCUGUCGGGACCACCCGAUAAGCCUGAAUACUCCCUGGUGACCGAUAGCGGACUAGUACCGUGAGGGAAAGGUGAAAAGUACCCCGGGAGGGGAGUGAAAUAGUACCUGAAACCGUGCGCUUACAAUCCGUCAGAGCCUGCGCCACUUUGGUGGGGGUGGUGAUGGCGUGCCUUUUGAAGAAUGAGCCUGCGAGUUAGCGGCAUGUCGCGAGGUUAACCCGUGUGGGGUAGCCGUAGCGAAAGCGAGUCCGAAUAGGGCGUUUGUAGUGGCAUGUUCUAGACCCGAAGCGGAGUGAUCUACCCAUGGCCAGGGUGAAGCGACGGUAAGACGUCGUGGAGGCCCGAACCCACUUAGGUUGAAAACUGAGGGGAUGAGCUGUGGGUAGGGGUGAAAGGCCAAUCAAACUCCGUGAUAGCUGGUUCUCCCCGAAAUGCAUUUAGGUGCAGCGUCGCGUGUUUCACUCUGGAGGUAGAGCUACUGGAUGGCGAUGGGCCCCACAAGGUUACUGACGUCAGCCAAACUCCGAAUGCCAGAGUGUGAGAGCGCGGCAGUGAGACUGCGGGAUAAGCGCGUAUUCGAGAGUGAAACGCCCAUCGCCGGCUAAGGCCCCUAAGCGUGUACUAAUGACAAGACACCAGAUUGGCGGCUAGGCCGCCCCAAGCGUAAGUAAGUGGAAGGAGAAGGGUUGGGUCGCGAAGAACACCAGGAGGUUGGCUUAGCGACACCACCCUGAAGAGAGUGCGUAAUAGCUCACUGGAAGUGAACCGCGCCGACAAUGUAGCGGGGCUCAAGUACACCGCCGAAGCCGCGGCAUUCACAUAACACACCUUCCCUCUACGGGGGUUGUGCAGUGGUGUGGAUGGGUAGGGGAGCGUCGUGCAGCCAUGGAAGCGCCGGAGUGAUCCAGGUGUGGAGCUGCACGAGUGAGAAUGCAGGCAUGAGUAGCGAAAGACGAGUGAGAAACUCGUCCGCCGAAUGACCAAGGGUUCCUGGGCCAGGUUAAUCCGCCCAGGGUGAGUCGGGACCUAAGGCGAGGCCGACAGGCGUAGUCGAUGGACAACGGGUUGAUAUUCCCGUACCCGUGUGAACGCGCCCCUGGUGAAUCAGUGAUGCUAAGCGCCCUGAAGCCGCCUUCGAACCUUCGGGUUCUCUGGUGGUGUGUGAUGCGCGUGAACCGAUCUGGUAGUAGCCAAGCGAUGGGGUGACGCAGGAAGGUAGCUGAGCCAGUCGUGGUAAUACUGGUGUAAGCGUGUAGGGCGUGACCUAGGCAAAUCCGGGUCACAUACAGCCUGAGACGUGAUGCGUAGCCGAUGAGGCGAAUUCAGUGAUCCUAUGCUGCCGAGAAAAGCCUCUAGCGAGCUUUCACACGGCCCGUACCCCAAACCGACACAGGUGGUCAGGUAGAGAAUACUAAGGCGAUCGAGAUAACUGUGUUAAGGAACUCGGCAAAAUGCCCCCGUAACUUCGGGAGAAGGGGGCCUCGUCUGGUGACGGAACUUGCUUCCUGAGCUGGUGGGGCCGCAGAGACCAGAGAGAAGCGACUGUUUACUAAAACCACAGGUCCGUGCGAAGUCGUAAGACGAUGUAUACGGACUGACGCCUGCCCGGUGCUGGAAGGUUAAGAGGACCGUUAGCCAGUAAUGGCGAAGCUGAGAAUUUAAGCCCCAGUAAACGGCGGUGGUAACUAUAACCAUCCUAAGGUAGCGAAAUCCUUGUCGGGUAAGUUCCGACCUGCACGAAUGGCGUAACGACUUCUCUGCUGUCUCAACCACAGACUCGGCGAAAUUGCAUUACGAGUAAAGAUGCUCGUUACGCGCGCAGGACGAAAAGACCCCGGGACCUUCACUAUAGCUUGGUAUUGGUGUUCGGUUCGGUUUGUGUAGGAUAGGUGGGAGACUGUGAAGCGGGCACGCCAGUGUUCGUGGAGUCGUUGUUGAAAUACCACUCUGAUCGUAUUGGACAUCUAACCUCGGACCAUGAUCUGGUUCAGGGACAGUGCCUGGUGGGUAGUUUAACUGGGGCGGUUGCCUCCCAAAUGUAACGGAGGCGCCCAAAGGUUCCUCAGCCUGGUUGGCAAUCAGGUGUCGAGUGCAAGUGCACAAGGGAGCUUGACUGUGAGACUGACAGGUCGAGCAGGGACGAAAGUCGGGACUAGUGAUCCGGCACCGGCAAGUGGAAGCGGUGUCGCUCACGGAUAAAGGUACCCCGGGAUAACAGGCUGAUCUUCCCCAAGAGUCCAUAUCGACGGGAUGGUUUGGCACCUCGAUGUCGGCUCGUCGCAUCCUGGGGCUGGAGUAGGUCCAAGGGUUGGGCUGUUCGCCCAUUAAAGCGGCACGCGAGCUGGUUUAGAACGUCGUGAGACAGUUCGGUCUCUAUCCGCCCCGCGCGCGUUAGAAACUUGAGGAAGGCUGUCCCUAGUACGAGAGGACCGGGACGGACGAACCUCUGGUGUGCAGUUGUUCCGCCAGGAGCACUGCUGGUUAGCUACGUUCGGAAGGGAUAACCGCUGAAAGCAUCUAAGCGGGAAGCCUGUUCCAAGAUGAGGUUUUCUCCCCCCUCGAGGGGGUAAGGCCCCCGGCAGACCACCGGUUGAUAGGCCAGAACUGGAAGCACAGUAAUGUGUGGAGGUGACUGGUACUAAUAGGCGAGGACUUACCACAA